UAAGUAGAUAGUAAAUCCUAGGGCUCAACCCUUUAAUAUUAUCUAAACUGCUAAGCUAGAAUAUGAGAGAGGUCGCUAGAAUUCCUUGUGUAGGAGUGAAAUCCGUAGAUAUAAGGAGGAAUACCGAUGGCGUAGGCAAGCGACUGGCUCAUUAUUGACACUAAGGCACGAAAGCGUGGGUAGCAAACGGGAUUAGAUACCCCGGUAGUCCACGCCGUAAACUAUGGAUGCUA
rnacentral:rRNA from 1 species